rnacentral:rRNA from 1 species
GGACAACAGUUGGAAACGACUGCUAAUACCGCAUAAGCCCACAGGUCGGCAUCGACCAGAGGGAAAAGGAGCAAUCCGCUUUGAGAUGGCCUCGCGUCCGAUUAGCUAGUUGGUGAGGUAAUGGCCCACCAAGGCGACGAUCGGUAGCCGGACUGAGAGGUUGAACGGCCACAUUGGGACUGAGACACGGCCCAGACUCCUACGGGAGGCAGCAGUGGGGAAUAUUGCACAAUGGGGGAAACCCUGAUGCAGCGACGCCGCGUGGAGGAAGAAGGUCUUCGGAUUGUAAACUCCUGUUGUUGAGGAAGAUAAUGACGGUACUCAACAAGGAAGUGACGGCUAACUACGUGCCAGCAGCCGCGGUAAAACGUAGGUCACAAGCGUUGUCCGGAAUUACUGGGUGUAAAGGGAGCGCAGGCGGGAAGACAAGUUGGAAGUGAAAUCUAUGGGCUCAACCCAUAAACUGCUUUCAAAACUGUUUUUCUUGAGUAGUGCAGAGGUAGGCGGAAUUCCCGGUGUAGCGGUGGAAUGCGUAGAUAUCGGGAGGAACACCAGUGGCGAAGGCGGCCUACUGGGCACCAACUGACGCUGAGGCUCGAAAGUGUGGGUAGCAAACAGGAUUAGAUACCCUGGUAGUCCACACCGUAAACGAUGAUUACUAGGUGUUGGAGGAUUGACCCCUUCAGUGCCGCAG